rnacentral:tRNA from 1 species
GGGCUGGUGGCGCAGUUGGUAGCGCGCUGGCUUCGCAAGCCAGAGGCCGCGAGUUCGAACCUCGCCCAGUCCA